rnacentral:misc_RNA from 1 species
UUCAAAGUAAAUAUCAGACUGUAUGUGGACUUCCGAAUCAGCUCAGUGUUCUCUGGAGUCAUAAUUGAUGUAUGUACCCUUCUCAAAUCCUCAGAGGCUUGUGCUAGGCUUCUGGUCAAAGUCUCAAAUUCCUUGAGGAGACUGCUAUCACGAACGUCAUAGAGCAAAGGUUGAACAUCUUUAGCCAUUUCCUUGAUGUGGGAUAUCACUACAUCAGAACCAAAGUUUGCAUGAGUAUAAAUUAAUUUUUAAAGACAGAUGUGGAACAAAUAUGAUUACACAGGCCUGCACAUGAACAGAAAGAGAAUACAUGGGCAAAUUUCAAGAGGUGCAGCAGCUCCUUCAAAUUCAAAUUAUCCCUAUAAUUACUAAAAAUGCCAAAUUAUCAACAAUCAUCACAUUAUACAUAAUAGCAAUAAAACAAUGCUAUAGUUUUGCCCAGAAGAGAAGCAAAUUACAUCAUUCAACUUGGAAGGUUUCUGCUAUAAUAGUGCCCCCACAUGCCAUAAUAACUCAAGGUAAACACUGUUUAAUGUUUGCACCAAAACAGAGAGUACAUUAAUUUAACUUGACAAAAGUUGUAACAUUUUUCCCUGUGCAGUUGAUUAAUCUUAUAAUAAAGCAACAUAAAUCUGACAAGUAGGUUUCUGAAAUCUAAUUCAACAUAUAAUUUCUCAAGGUUUUGCUAUCAUAAUGCUGAAAUCCCCUACUUCAUUCUAUUAAAAUUUUUAGAUACAUAACAUUCAAUUCAGUUUGCAACCUUACAUUCCAAUCAGAUGCCUUAACAAAUUAUUCAAAAGCAUCAGCCCUCAACAACUUAUUUAUGCUUAGGUAAAUUUCACAUGUUGUCCUUGAACAUUGGGUGUUGUAACAAUGUCAUCUCUGCAUUUUAAUAUGUAACACAAAACUCACUGAACAUUGAUUUGAAUAACAAAUGAUUCAAAAGCAUUCCAACCUGAGAUAACACAUCUCUUGGUUACAAAGCUGAUUUGGCAUCACUUUACAGAAAACAAGAAUUGAAAUGACUCAUACACUCUCAAAUAAACAACAAAACUCUCUUCCCCAUCCCUGCCCCUCUCUUCUCCCCCUCUCUGUGACUCUGUCAUUGUCCCUCUUACCCUCUGUGUCUUUGUCUCUCUUGCAACCUCUGUAUCUCUCUCACCAUCAUUGCCUUUCUCUCUCAAAUUACCCAAAAUCAACAAAGAAAAAAAUUAGGUAAUUUCAAAACAAAAAAUCACAAAACAAUAGUAAGACAAUUUUCAACCCAUUAACAAAUUUUCUCACAAAUCACAAAAUAAAUAAAAUUUUCCAACAAAUUUCAGAAUUUCAAUUGAAAUAUCAACAAAAUCAAUACAAAAUCAACUCAUGAACACAAGUUAAUAGUAACAGAAGGGAAACUCCUGCUGUUAGUGUCCAGAAAGUCUAGCAACCUUUGGCGCUGCUGGUCGAUAUUGAAGGCCAACCUACAAUUUCAAUUUCACUCCAACUGCCUUCUCUUAAAACCGACUCAAUUUACUCUAUCAAAAAACUGCUCUGUUGAACAUCACUCUGUGAAGGAAGACUCCAAGUUUCGUCUCUGACAAUCCACAAUUGCGUCUCUCCAGAACUCGACCCAUUCAGGGUUCUCACCCCAUUUGCUAUACCCGUAUCCAAGCUUCUAUGCAAAUCAUUUGUUGAAGACUCAAUUCUUGCUGAUGAAUCUCAUUUCCAAAGCGAAGUUCUCUUCAGUGCAUUUCUCGUCACCCUCAAUGCAUUUUCCUAGUUGGUUGCUCUCAAGCACCACAACUUGGAUAAGAGAGUGAGAUAGUGGCAAUAGAAAGAUCAAGCAAGGCAUAGAGAAGGAGGCAAGCACCAGUCUAGGAAGCCAAGACCAAUGAGAAACCAAUAGAGAGUUGGCACGGGCAGAAAGGCAACUGCAUAGAUCGUGACAGAGAGAAGACAAGGGCACUGAUGCACAAUGGGCUUGGAAUCCACAUGAUAGAGAGUUUCGUGGUAUGGGUGGCUUACAGGGGUGUGGGUUGGGUCGGGUUGUGGUUUAUGCAAUACUUGUAACAGAGGAAUGCCAUGCGAAAAUUGUGAUUUUUUUCU